rnacentral:lncRNA from 10 species
AUUGACUAUGAUGUAACACACACAGUGGUUUAUCAGUGUUCAUUAUGUUCCUGUAAAUAGAAAUGGCUUAGAAAUUGCUUCUAGGCAAAAAUUUGCUAUUUCCCCCCUACAUGCUUUUGUAUCUAACAAGAAUACCAUUAUUGGUCUGACCAAGUUGCUGUUACAAGGCUGUAUUUUGAUGAAAUAGCCUGGAAAGUUUUCUAAACUCUCUAAAGUUUUAGCCAUGUUUGCGGGUUUUUUAAUUUGUUGCUUUAUUUAUUUGUUGUUUUGUUUUAUGUGCAUUCUAUUAUGUCCUUUGUAUGUUCAUUAUUAUUCUAUUAAUUUUAUACUUCCUUAAGGCAUUGAUGGACUUUUCUGCCUUUCUAUUAGUACUUUUGAGUUUCUGAGUUACACCAUUUUAUAUGUAUUUCUUCUGUGUGUUAAAUAAACUCAAAUUCAAUCCUAA